rnacentral:snRNA from 1 species
UAAUAGCCCCGAUGGAAGGGAAAAUCCUUUUUAUUUUUCUUUUAAAAAUAAAAAGAUUGGAACCCCGAUAACUAUCGGGGGCGGGA